UUGAAAGGGAACGAUUGAAGUCAGUCGUACCGACGAGAAAUCAGCUCUUCGAGUGCGAACUUGUGGGCGUGCGCGAGUCUUUACGGGCCUCGCUGUUUGCAUUUUGUGCUUUUUGGGUGUACUUUUUCGUAUGGUAGGCCAACGUCAGUUUCGAUCACCGUAAAUGAUCGGAGGAAUGUAGCUUCGAUCUCGUAUUGAAGUGUUAUAGCCUCUGGUAGAUGCGGUGACCGAAACUGAGGAUUGCAACGAAUACCCUUCUGGGCUAUCCGUCUGGCCUCUGAAAGUUGCUUAGGUGCCGAAAGCGUGCUUACGGCUAUUUAAGUUGACGGUCAACAGGUUAGAACGUGAUUACAUUCGUUAAGGAUGUUGACGUA
rnacentral:rRNA from 1 species